rnacentral:rRNA from 1 species
GUUGGCGACCACAGCGGAGAGGGUACACCCGUUCCCAUUCCGAACACGGAAGUUAAGCUCUCCCGCGUUGUGACAAGUACUGCAACCGUGGGAACGUCACAUCGUUGCUUACC